UAUGUGAUCGUCUCUCGCAUAUCAAUAAGCGGAGGAAAAGAAACUAACAAGGAUUCCCCUAGUAACGGCGAGUGAAGCGGGAAGAGCUCAAAUUUGAAAUCUUAAAGGGUUUCCCUUUACGAAUUGUAGUUUAAAGAAGUGUUUUCUGUUGAGGUUUUGGUAAAAGUUCUUUGGAAUAGGACAUCAUAGAGGGUGAGAAUCCCGUAUUUGACCUUUACUUUCAACUUUGUGAUACACUUUCAAAGAGUCGGAUUGUUUGGGAAUGCAGUCCAAAAUGGGUGGUAAAUUUCAUCUAAAGCUAAAUAUUGGCGAGAGACCGAUAGCGAACAAGUACCGUGAGGGAAAGAUGAAAAGAACUUUGAAAAGAGAGUUAAACAGUACGUGAAAUUGUCAAAAGGGAAGCGUUUGACACCAGUGUUGUUUUUCUGAAAAUCAAUUAAAGAACUGUUUAUGCUAAGCUUGUUUAGACUUUAUCAGCUAACUGUUUAGUUUUGAGCUUUUCUUUAAUGCACUUUUCAGUUAACAAGUUAACAUCAAUUUCUUUUGCUGUAAAAAAGCUUGAGGAAGGUGGCUUGAGAAUUCGUCUUAAGUGUUUAUAGCCUCUUGCCUAUGCAGUCGGAGAGAUUGAGGUCUGCAGCGUAGAUCCUUCGGGGCUAAAUGCAUUUGUGCUAAGUUAUAGCAUUUUAUAGACAACUUGUUGACUAUGAUUUGUCUUGUAGCUUACUCGCUUAUGUUAUUUUACCUACGCUUAGGAUGUUGAGUAGCGACAUACGCAC
rnacentral:rRNA from 1 species